rnacentral:rRNA from 1 species
AUUGAACGCUGGCGGCAGGCUUAACACAUGCAAGUCGAGCGGAGAUGAGGUGCUUGCACCUUAUCUUAGCGGCGGACGGGUGAGUAAUGCUUAGGAAUCUGCCUAUUAGUGGGGGACAACAUUCCGAAAGGAAUGCUAAUACCGCAUACGUCCUACGGGAGAAAGCAGGGGAUCUUCGGACCUUGCGCUAAUAGAUGAGCCUAAGUCGGAUUAGCUAGUUGGGGGGGUAAAGGCCUACCAAGGCGACGAUCUGUAGCGGGUCUGAGAGGAUGAUCCGCCACACUGGGACUGAGACACGGCCCAGACUCCUACGGGAGGCAGCAGUGGGGAAUAUUGGACAAUGGGGGGAACCCUGAUCCAGCCAUGCCGCGUGUGUGAAGAAGGCCUUAUGGUUGUAAAGCACUUUAAGCGAGGAGGAGGCUACUGAGACUAAUACUCUUGGAUAGUGGACGUUACUCGCAGAAGAAGCACCGGCUAACUCUGUGCCAGCAGCCGCCGUAACAC